rnacentral:rRNA from 1 species
CCUACGGGGGACAGCAGGGAGGAAUAUUGGUCAAUGGCCGGAAGACUGAACCAGCCAAGCCGCGUGAAGGACGAAGGUGCAGAGCAUUGUAAACUUCUUUUGUCAAGGGACAAAAUCAGGCUCGAGAGCCUGACCGAGGGUACCUGAAGAAAAAGCAUCGGCUAACUCCGUGCCAGCAGCCGCGGUAAUACGGAGGAUGCGAGCGUUAUCCGGAUUUAUUGGGUUUAACGGGUGCGUAGGCGGGCUGUUAAGUCAGCGGUAAAAGCCCGGGGCUCAACCCCGGCGCGCCGUUGAAACUGGCUGUCUUGAGAUGUCGAGAGGUAUGCGGAAUGCGCAGUGUAGCGGUGAAAUGCUUAGAUAUCGCGCAGAACUCCGAUUGCGAAGGCAGCAUACCGGCGGCGCUCUGACGCUGAGGCACGAAAGCGUGGGUAUCGAACAGGAUUAGAUACCCUUGUAGUC